rnacentral:rRNA from 1 species
AGAGUUUGAUCCUGGCUCAGAUUGAACGCUGGCGGCGUGCUUAACACAUGCAAGUCGUGCGAGAAAGGGGACUUCGGUCCCUGAGUAGAGCGGCGCACGGGUGAGUAACGCGUGGAUAAUCUCCCCAGAAGUUCGGGAUAACGGCGGGAAACUGCCGCUAAUACCGGAUACGCUCCAAUUUCGGUUGGGGGAAAGGCGGCCUCUGUUUACAAGCUGUCGCUUCUGGAUGAGUCCGCGUCCCAUCAGCUUGUUGGUGGGGUAAUGGCCUACCAAGGCUACGAUGGGUAGCUGGUCUGAGAGGAUGAUCAGCCACACUGGAACUGAAACACGGUCCAGACUCCUACGGGAGGCAGCAGUGGGGAAUAUUGCGCAAUGGGGGAAACCCUGACGCAGCGACGCCGUGUGAGGGAUGAAGGCUUUCGGGUC